rnacentral:rRNA from 1 species
AGAGUUUGAUCAUGGCUCAGAUUGAACGCUGGCGGCAUGCCUUACACAUGCAAGUCGAACGGCAGCACGGGGGCAACCCUGGUGGCGAGUGGCGAACGGGUGAGUAAUAUAUCGGAACGUGCCCAAGAGUGGGGGAUAGCCCGGCGAAAGCCGGAUUAAUACCGCAUACGAUCUAUGGAUGAAAGCGGGGGAUCGCAAGACCUCGCGCUCCUGGAGCGGCCGAUAUCUGAUUAGCUAGUUGGUGGGGUAAAAGCCCACCAAGGCGACGAUCAGUAGCUGGUUUGAGAGAACGACCAGCCACACUGGGACUGAGACACGGCCCAGACUCCUACGGGAGGCAGCAGUGGGGAAUUUUGGACAAUGGGGGCAACCCUGAUCCAGCAAUGCCGCGUGAGUGAAGAAGGCCUUCGGGUUGUAAAGCUCUUUUGUCCGGAACGAAACGGUGAGCGCUAAUAUCGCUUACUAAUGACGGUACCGGAAGAAUAAGCACCGGCUAACUACGUGCCAGCAGCCGCGGUAAUACGUAGGGUGCGAGCGUUAAUCGGAAUUACUGGGCGUAAAGCGUGCGCAGGCGGUUGUGCAAGACAGAUGUGAAAUCCCCGGGCUUAACCUGGGAAUUGCAUUUGUGGCUGCACGGCUAGAGUGUGUCAGAGGGGGGUAGAAUUCCACGUGUAGCAGUGAAAUGCGUAGAUAUGUGGAGGAAUACCGAUGGCGAAGGCAGCCCCCUGGGAUAACACUGACGCUCAUGCACGAAAGCGUGGGGAGCAAACAGGAUUAGAUACCCUAGUAGUCC